rnacentral:lncRNA from 1 species
UUCAUCUUUGGCGUUAGCAUUGUUAUUAUUUUUCGUAAUAAUUUUGUCUAUUCUUUAUAAGUGAGAUUAUGGGGUUAUCAGCCAAGUACCAAUGGUAUGUGUACUCCGGUUAUCACAUUUAUAGGGGUCAUCUUUAUUUAAACGCUUAAAUUACUAUUUACAGUGUAAUAUUUUUAGUUCGUUCAACACAAACAGGGAAGCGUGAUUUUACAGAUAUGUCUAAAUUAACGUAUCUCUUGGUGCUGAUGGCAGUGGUCGCCAUUGUGGUAGCCCGUCCACAAGGAGUGUCAGUUGUGGACCAAGAAAACGGAGUUGCUGUCGUCGAUGGGGAUAAUUCAGGAAACGGUGGAGAUGUAACUGUUGUUGAUCAACCAGGUAUAGACGACUCUUUGCGUGUGGUCCAAUCUUCAGAAUAAUGAUUUUCGUGGCUGAAUAUUUUCUCUUUAGAAUUUUCCCACUAAGUGGGGUUCACUUUUUUGCCUGAAUUGUUUUCUGUAAAUUAUUGUACUUUUGAUAAAAUAAUAAUAAAAAUAUGUAAACUUACCUAUUCCAUAUACUUAUUACGUACUUUUUAUUUUACAAAAUUCAUCAAAACAAAUCGUAAAAAAAGUAAGAUUCUA